CAAUAAAUGCAGUUCCCACCUCCUAACUUUGCAGUACAAACUGGUGAAUCGUUACAGAUGUUUCAGUGUUACCAUUAGGGAAACUGGGAACUACCUUCAAAAACCUGCAAUGACAUCUUAUGAGGGAACCAUUGAUAUAUGACUCUUGUUUUUCUGAGUACUUUAAUAAUACUUCACUUUUAGAAGAAGCUGCAACUUAAAAUAAAGCCCAUUUUCGAUUUAUGUAGUUGUUACAUUUCCACCAUGGGACUACACAGCACCACAAGAGAUUCUGAAGUUAUCUGAUACUCAAAUAAGUCAACCUUGGAAUCAGAUACCACUUCAGCAGCGGGACUGCUCAGGGCCAAAUCCAGCUGAAAUUCCAGACUCCCCAGGCCAUGGCUUUCUUCCUCUGCCACCAACUAGAUACAUAAGAAUAUUGCAUCUAAGGUGAUGCCAUUAAGCCUCACAAAUUCAUCAAGAAAAAAGCCUUGUAACUCCUAAGAGGAAGAAGCAUUGUGAACAAGAAAAUCUUGCUCUAUCUAUCUUUCUCCAAAGAACCAGUUGUGUUACGCAGGACAAAAUAACAAAAACAAACAAGCAAACCAAAACUGUCAAAGGAUGCCUGAUCUGAGCCUGGCCCCACACUGUAACCAUUCUUAAUGAUCCAGGCGGUGCCCUUUGCUACUUCAGAGCCUUUCUUUCCCGUCUCUUCAAGGAUCAGAAUCUCUCUAGUGUAACUGCAGGAGGAAGAAAAGGAGAGAAAAAUGACAUGCGACUGUAUAGUUUCAGGGUAAGGACAUAAUAUAGGAGGAAACUUUCUUUAAAGAUAGGUUUGUGUUUCCUUUUAAAGGACCUAGCUGCAUUUCCAAGAGCAGAGGUGGAGGGGUCCUCCCCAGCCUUCCUGCUGUAGCUAUUAGCUCCCUUUCUCAGGCUAUAAGUACCUGAGAAGUAUCUUCUAAAUCCUGCCCCCAGUUCCUUUGGUGGGGUGAUUCCUGUAUGGCAAUAUGCCUACAACUGAUUUAAGGACUAUUCUUGAGAAUAAUCUCUGGAAAUGCUUUGAGCAUGUAUGGAAGAUGAAUUCUACUUUCUCUACUGCAGUUUUAGUAGGACACUGUGGGGAUGGUUAUUGUUGCCUUUAAAUUGAGUAUAAAUGUGGGUGUUUGAAAAUAAUUCUUAGCAAUCAUAAAACUUAUAUUUGACAAUCUUAAUCCAGGAAAAAAAAAAAAACCCACAACUGUUUUGUAUAUUGUGUUUGGCAUUCAGGGAUCAGUGCAAGCACCUCUGGGGCAAAAUUCAGCAGCUGCUUAAUAGUGGCAGCAAUGCUGCAGAACAUUCUUAGGACAUAAAAAGCAGAAGAAUAACUUAUCUAAUUGAAACUGUGUGGGGAAUUUAAGUAGGCAGAAUGUAAUUACUCAAGCUGGAAGUUGGCCAUUCAAAUAUUGAAGCCUUUAAAGAAAUGUUAAUAACUAUUCACAGCUUUAGGAAUGUAUCUUCAAAUCACAAUUUUAAUAAGAAUAAAAAAGAGAAAAUACAUUUAGCAGCUUAUGCUAGGGAAAUAUUGUAUUAACUCUAGAGGAUGAAAAUGAAGGUAAAUAUUGAAAUGUGUGUGUUAUCAUGGGAUGAGACUUUUAUGUAUCAAUCCUAUCUCCAACUAAAACCUUCUGCUAUAAAACAUAAAACUACUGCAUUGAAGUAUGUUUCUGUUUUGCUUUUACUAUGGUAAAUAGCUAUCACACACAUAAAAGAAAUUUGGCAUAAAAUAUGGAUAAUAAAAUGUCAUUUAUGAAAAUAACUUAGGGCAGUGGUUUUUGUUUCAAAAACAUACAAAAGAUG